CUUAAUUCCAUUUCUUUUUCAUGCCCUGAAGAAGCAAAGGCCACAACACAGGUAUAGGUCCUUUUCUCAGAGCAACUCCUCCAACCGCAGUUACCAUCUCCUUAUGAGUGGCCAGGAUUCAUUAGAGGGCUCCUCUCAUCGCCGGACACGAUCCGAAUUUCAGCCUCCUGUUAGUACUGCUGCCUUCUUUGAGCAGCGGCCCGCGAAUGAAUUUGUUCAUUCGCGGAGCCUCAAGGAAGAAGGUGGUGUUUCUGCUGCUCCUUCAGUGCUCAUUGGAUCAUCAAAGAUGGGUUCCUAUCCUUACCAGAUCUCUAAUGUGGGUAUGGCUAAAGGGAAAUGAAAGAUUCAAUCCGAAUAAUAUUUCAUUGAUUUUUUGUUUUUCCUUUUGGUAUAAGAGCAAAGUGUUCAAUGCUUGUAGUUCAGUACUUGUAAAAGUUGAAUGUUAAUUGAGCAAUGAAAAUGUAUUUUAAUUGUUAAUAAUGUUGGUGAGGUUGAAAGUUUGAAAGCAAACAUUGGUCAACUGUAGAUUCUGAGAUUGGUUGUCUUGUGUGCUUGUUUUUAUUUUAUACAAUUGAUGUAACAAAGGAUUAAGAAGGAGCCACGUUAUAGUCAUAGAGUGUAUGGAAUUUUUUUUAUUUUUAUGAAUUUAAAGAUAAAAUAUUUUAUAAAACUAUUUUUAGAAUAAUUCACUUGUAACAAAAUUACGUAUGUAUUUAUAAUGAGUUAGCCACUAUUAAGAUGAAUACAUCACAAAAAUAUAUCAUCAUCGUAUUUAUAUGAGUUAAACUUGAAUCAUGUUCCAAAUAUACCGCGGUCGUAUUUACGUGAGUUGAACUUGAAUCAUGUUCCACCUAAAUCGAGAUGAAAUAGACCGAAGACUAGCUAGUUAUGCAUGUGGCGUACUGAGUUACGCAAAGAAACCCCGGUAUCUUAUGAUAAACAAAGGGUAAAAACGUCAUUACACGUAUAUGAGCUGCCAGCGAAGACAAGUUGUAGAAUAAGUCCUUCCUUCUUAAAGAUGGGCAGAGCUCCAAUAAUUUUUUGUGGUCAGCAACAACAAGACAAGAAGAAAGAAGAGGCGAACUGAGCGAUGGAUCUAGGCAGCCACAAAAUGGAAGGCUUAAUUCCUUAUCUUUAUCACGCCAUCAAGAAGCAAAGACCUCAACGCAGGCACCGGUCAUCCUUUACUGAGAGCAUCUCCACUCAUGCUAGCUACCAUCGCUUGACGAGUGGCCAUGAUGUCUUAGAGGCCUCAUCUCUUCGUCGAACACCGCCGGAAGUUAUUCGUUCGCGUAGCUUCCAGGAAGAAGGUGGUGCUUCUGCUGCUCCUCCAGGCCACAUUGAAUCAUCAAAGAGUUCAAAAUUGGACCUUACUUCAUAACGACGCAGUUCACUUCUCGUAAGAGUUUUAUGUUCAAUAUCAAUGAUAUUGUAUUUUGAUUCUUAAUGUUGGUGAAAUUGAAACUUUGAGAGAUGAUUAAAGCAGUGAUUUAGAUUUGGGAUGAUUUGAGAUUUGAAUGUCAUAAUGUUUGUUUGUGUGCUCCUACAAUUGCAAACCAAGCACCAAGUAACAACCAUGCCCAAAAUGGCGUUGGAUUUUUCUGUCAAAGUUGUCAAUAAUGCAAUGUCAUUAUCCCACCUAAACUAAAAUGGACAGAUUUGGACCAAUUAGUUGCAAGACAAAAGAAAGGAAAAAACUAAAAUGGGGUUGCUCGGGACUAAAAACAAACAAUCCGGGGUUUAAUAUCCCACCUACCUAUAGACAAAUUAAAACCUUGUAAGAGGUUAUUAGGGUUUCGAAUCCAAGAUUAGGUUUGAAGGGGUCUGAGGUUUGAGUUUGAUCUCAUGUUAAUGAAACAUUGCAUAUGUUGUAUGUUUGGGGAGAGUAGCUCAACUCCUUAUAAACUCAGGCUUCAAGCUUAACAUGUGAACAACACAUAUUGGGUGGCGUGGGAGCACGUGUGGCCGUUGGGCCCAACACGUGAAGCCUUGCUCUGAUACCAUGAAGGAAGUUGAGGUUCCACCCCAAAACCAAUUGGCAAUGGGGAGAGUAGCUCAACUCCUUAUAAACCCAGGCUAGGUCCCUUAACAUUUCAAUGUGGGACAAAC
rnacentral:lncRNA from 1 species